rnacentral:rRNA from 1 species
ACUGCUCAGUAACACGUAGCUAACCUGCCCUUAAUCACAGAAUACCCUCGGGAAACUGAGGCUAAAUCUGUAUAUGAGAUGAUUCUGGAAAGAGUUUUCUCUAAAACGCAAGGAUUAAGGAUGGGGCUGCGUCUGAUUAGGUUGUUGGCGGGGUAAAAGCCCACCAAGCCGAUGAUCAGUAGGGGCUCUUAGCGGAGUCGCCCCGAGAGGAAGUCUGAGACACUAUUUCCAGCUCUACGGAGUGCAGCAGUCGCGAAUCUUUUGCAAUGCGCGUAAGCGUGACAAAGCGAACCAAAGUGUUUUCCGCACAGGAAAACUUUUGCCAGCUGUAAAAAGGCUGGCGAAUAAGGACUGGGCAAGACCGGUGCCAGCCGCCGCGGUAAUCCCGGCAGUCCAAGUCGCAGCCAACAUUAUUGGGUCUAAAACAUCCGUAGCUUGUUUAUUAAGUUCUUUGUGAAAUCCGGCAUCUUAAGUGUCGGGCGAGCAGAGAAUACUGAUAAGCUCGGGAUCGGAAGAUGCAAGGAGUACACUCAAGGUAGUGGUAAAAUACGUUAAUCUUGGGUGGACUACCAAUUGGCGAAGGCACCUUGCAAGUACGAAUCUGACAGUGAGGGAUGAGGGCCAGGGGCGCAAAAUGGAUUAGAUACCCAUGUAGUCCUGGCAGUAAACACUGCUCACUAAACAUCGGGCUCUCUUCGGGAGAAUCCGGUGCUGAAGCGAAGGCGAAGAGUGAGCUACCUGGGAAGUAUAGUCGCAAGAUCGAAACUUAAAGGAAUUGGCGGGGGAGCA